GAACGCACAUUGCGCCCUCUGGUAUUCCGGAGGGCAUGCCUGUCCGAGCGUCAUUGCUGCCCUCAAGCACGGCUUGUGUGUUGGGCCCUCGUCCCCCCGGGGACGGGCCCGGAAGGCAGCGGCGGCACCGCGUCCGGUCCUCGAGCGUAUGGGGCUUCGUCACCCGCUCGUUAGGCCCGGCCGGCGCCAGCCGACCCCCCCUCAAUCUUUAACCAGGUUGACCUCGGAUCAGGUAGGGAUACCCGCUGAACUUAA
rnacentral:misc_RNA from 1 species